rnacentral:rRNA from 1 species
GACGAACGCUGGCGGCGUGGUUAACACAUGCAAGUCGAACGGAAAGGCCCCCUUGUGGGGUACUCGAGUGGCGAACGGGUGAGUAACACGUGAGUAACCUACCCUUGACUUUGGGAUAACUUCAGGAAACUGGGGCUAAUACCGGAUAGGAGCUCCUGCUGCAUGGUGGGGGUUGGAAAGGUUCGGCGGUUGGGGAUGGACUCGCGGCUGAUCAGCUUGUUGGUGGGGUAGUGGCUCACCAAGGGUUUGACGGGUAGCCGGCCUGAGAGGGUGACCGGCCACAUUGGGACUGAGGUACGGCCCAGACUCCUACGGGAGGCAGCAGUGGGGAAUAUUGCACAAUGGGCGGAAGCCUGAUGCAGCAACGCCGCGUGCGGGAUGACGGCCUUCGGGUUGUAAACCGCUUUCGCCUGUGACGAAGCGUGAGUGACGGUAAUGGGUAAAGAAGCACCGGCUAACUACGUG